CUUGCCUCACAGGGUUGCCAUGAGAGUCAAGAGGUUGAAUAUACAUCCGAGAACUUUAACAGACUUUUCAAGCUGCCGUUGUAGAAGAAGGUGGUAUUUGGAAAUGAGAUUCAUGACUUGCCAGCUGGAUCUCCCUUGCUUCUUCCAGGAGAGAGGGGGUUGAAAGAGCCAACAGGAACUGAGAAGCAUGAUAAACGAAGGAGGAAAAGUAACAAAGAGCUUGAAGACUUUCAUGGCUCCCAGGUCCUGGAUGGGAGGCCGGUGGCCUCAGACGGACAGAACCAAGGAGGUGCCUGUGGCUGCAGAGGCCAGAUGGAGUUGCUGCUACCCUUUCUCACUGCAUCCAGCUGUACACGUGAGGCACACGCGAGACUGUACCCGAACCCACCAGAAGUUUGUGACCCUACAGCGUUCUAUCGUUAUAAGGCAUAUCAUCAUUGUUCUGCUGCGUAUUCCUUACUAGUGACCUCCCCGUAUUUCCAACCUUAAGUAUUUUAAAAGUUAUCUUUCCAGGGUGCCUGGGUGGCUCAGUCCUUAAGUGUCUGCCUUUGGCUCAGGUCAUGAUCCCAGGGUCCUGGGAUCAAGCCCCGCAUCACGCUCCCUGCUCAGCGGGAAGCCUGCUUCUCCCUCUCCUGCUCCCCCUGCUUGUAUUCCCUCUCUCACUGCCUCUCUCUGUCCAAUAAAUAAAUAAAAUCUUUAAAAAAAUAAAAGCUG
rnacentral:lncRNA from 1 species